CACGCAGGCGGUCAGGCAAGUUGGUGGUGAAAGCCCUCGGCUCAACCGAGGAAUUGCCCCCAAAACUGCUUGACUUGAGUCCCGGAGAGGGUGACGGAAUUCCCAGUGUAGCGGUGAAAUGCGUAGAUACUGGGAGGAACACCAGUGGCGAAGGCGGUCACCUGGACGGGUACUGACGCUCAUGUGCGAAAGCGUGGGGAGCAAACAGGAUUAGAUACCCUGGUAGUCC
rnacentral:rRNA from 1 species